UUCUGGGGUUGAGAUACACAGCUUGGUUUUUGUGGGGGCUGUCAGGGUGGGGGAGGAGGGCAGAGAGCAUCCCAGGAAUCAAGGCUGUUGAUCUUGCUCCCUGAUUGUCUUGGCCCAGAUGUGGAUUCCCCUGCCAGCACUUGGAAAGUGAUCUUCAUCCAUCCCUUCCUUGCAAACAUUUCCCUUGGCUAUCAUGUGGGGGGCACAGCAUCUCAUAGCACUGGUGAGCACACAAUCCCCCUGCUGCUGGCUCCCAAAGGCCUUGGUGGGUAGGAACCCAGGAAAUCACCUGAAGUAGCCCAAUACUGUACAGACUGGCAGUGAAGCAGGGAAUGCAGGUGACAUGGUGUGGCUGAAUUUCAGAAAGUCUUCAAUGAGAUCACUCAAAGGAUACAGAAAAAAUACAUCCAAAUGCCUACCAGGUCACACAGAGGCAUGCCUGAUCCAACAACCAAGCUCAAGGGUCCCUGCUCAUUCAGCGUUCCCUCCCUGUGCAGAGCAAAGAAAGACCCAGCCAGGCAUCUGGAGGCUGAAGCCCAGCAGCCAGCAGCAAGGCAGCUUUCUGAGCCACAGCCCAGGUGUCAGCCAGCCAAGCUUUCCUCUGCAGGGCAGGACAUGCGCCCUCUGCAAGUCAUCUGAGGAACAGCAGCAGCAGCUGCUGGCUCUGACCCCAGCAAGAAUGGCCCACUGCUCUUUCCAAAGCAUCAGCGUGGUCAGGGACAGGCAACGGAUGCCUCACCCCGGAAGACUGUUUCGUGAUGGUGUUGUUAUAAAUACAAAAAUAUUUGAAGGAAGAGGAGAAGGUGGAAGAAGAAGAGGAGAAAUCCAGGGGUAAGCAUGGUGGGCAAGGGGUGCACACACAUGCAAGGGAAGAGUGGGUGUUUCCCAGGGUGUGAAACUCCUGGUCUGACUCAGGGGAUGGUCCCUCAUGUCACGCAUCACAGAUGGAUGAUACCAGUUCCCAGUGACAGUGUCCACAGAGGUGCAGUGAAGAAACAUUCUGUAAUCGGCAUGUUACAGGCACUGCUGGUUUUCCCACUGUGUCUGGUGGCUUCACAGAGCUCUGGCUGGAGCUGGCCUCAGCUCCCUGGAAGAGGCGACAUUUUAGCACAAGACUUAUGAAAGUAGCUGAGCCAUCUCUCAUGAACUUGGCUGCCCUCCAGAUAUGACCUCCACUCUCCUUCCCUGAUCAAGUGCCUGUGGAGCUCCACUGUGCCCCUGCUCUCUGCAUCCUGGGUCAAGGUGUUCCCCAUUCCACCAAGUGCUCCUACCAUUAUCAUCUGCUGUCCUCACCAGAGCCCCAAAGAAAUGAAGCUACCUGGUCUUGGACUUGAGCUUUUGAUCAAGAGCUAAAUGAGCCUCUUUGCUUCCUAAGCAGCCUGUCUCAAGUUCUCUGAUACAGUAAUUUUGAAACGGAUUAUUACAGCCAACAAUCUGUUGAGAGUCCAUACUACUCCUUGGCUCCAGAGUCAACAGAGAAGCCCUCUUCUCUUUCUCCAGCACUGCCCAGGCCUUGGUCUUGUCUUCUCUGGGAAGAGGAAUUGACAAGACAAGCUUUUGGCCAACACAGUAACAGAAAUCGUACCACCACUUGGAUGUAUUUUGCCUCCUAGUGAUCAACUUGAGCAUUAUAUUUGUGGCCAGAAGACCUGACUUCAAAUCCUGGAUUUUGCCAGUUUCAAGUUGUCAUAUAUCCUCUUUUGCAAAUAACAACUAUAAUAGCAACUAAAUAGAGCAAACAUGCUCUCCCUCACAAGGUGGUUGUAAGGAUUCCAUGUUUAUAGGUGUCUUGUUUUGCUUGUGCAAAUUGUGUGUAUGUGUGCUUGUAUGUGUGUGCAGUCACUAUUGUGCUUGCCUUAAGCAUGUUCUUCAAGCAUUUGGAAGUUGCAGGACUACACAGGAAAAGGGCAUUCUGGGUGAGUAAAAUGUGUGAUUCAGUCAUAACAGAGACAGAAUCUCAGCUCAAUCAGAAAACCCACAUGGCCAUGAGCCCCUGCAAGCCAGGUCAGCAUACUGAUACUCGGCUUUGUGGUCUGAUAAAUCUAUUCCACACAAAGGGAGAUGUGUAUGACUCUUUCAGAUGUUUCCAUUAGUUAAUUUGGGGGCAACUCAAGUAUUUCAUCUGUGGUGCUCUCCUUCUUCCUAAUGUGACACAACUAAACUUUGAGUCCCCAUACCAUUCAGGUCUCAUUUCUCUGAAGGCUGUUCAAGUUUCUCUGGGAGCACCCAGAUAUGCAUCAAAUCAACCCACUACGCUAAGUUCAGGACACAACUCAGAAGUUUUGUCUCCUCCUACCUUCCACUUACUGUACUUCUCUUAAUGGAUCCCAAGUUUACCUCAGUUUGAUGGGUCAGGAGAUAACUCAUAUCCUGUUCCUUCAGAAAGAUUCAUAAAAUUCAGAUGACUACAUCUUCUAUAGCCCCAGUAAAUCAAAAUCUUUGGAGGUAGAGAUAUUUUUUAAACCUAUCCCAGAUGACACCAAUGCAUCCCAGCAAAAAUUUUCUCAAGAAUGAGGAAAGAUCCAGGUAUAGAUUUUAGGAAAGACCCAGGCAUCCUUUUUUGACUCUUUUUAUCCUCACUAAAGUAAUAAAAAUCCUUCACUGGCAGGGACAGCACAUGUAGGACAUUCUGGCUGUCAGUGAGUGAAGAUAAUCUUAAGGGCCUCUAAUUCCACUGGUUAACAAUGCAGAAGUGUCCCAGGACUCCCUGUAGAUAAAGCUCCGCCAUUGCACUGAAUGGAGCAGAUGGUGGAGAGCUGAAAAAGCAAGUGUGGCCAGUGAACAAUGACAGGGAACCCAGGGGCUGGUGAGAUCACUACAGUGGGUGACCAACAGUGAGGCUGGGUGAGGAGGCAGAAAGGACAGAAAGGGACACAAGGACAAGGACAGACCACAGCAAAAGGUCAGAGGAAGACCAUUCAGCAGCUGGGAGUGAGGCUGAGGGAAGAAAGGUGAGGGGUGAGGCGGGCAAUGUCAGGGGUCAUGUUUAUGACAGUGAAGGGCGAGGAGGAGCCCUUGACCCUGCAGAGCAGGUGAGGGAAGCGGCCUCUUGCAGGAGAGCCAGGUGCCAGGGCCACCGAUGGCAUUGCUUCACAACAAUGCUAUUACAGUAGCACUAUGGUUUGGGUGUAGUUUGAGUGUCCUCCAAGGCUCAGUGUAUCAAAAUUUAGUUUCCAUUGAGAGGAAUCAAGAGGAUGGAAACUGAAUUCCACUAUAGUUUACAUGCUGAGCCUUUGGGAGUUGAUUAGGAUUAGAUAAAUUCAUUAUUGUGUAGUCCCCACAAUUGAAUCCUGAUAGUUUUAUAAGAAAAGAGAGAGAAAACAGACAGACAUAUGGACAUACGUGCACAUUCUCUGCCCUUGCCAUGUGAUCCCCUGUGUUACCUCUGGGUUCUGCCAGCAAGAAGUUGCUGACACUCAACUUUGUACCUGUAGAACCAUAAGUCAACCUAAGCCUCUUUUCUUUAUGAAGUAGCCUGCCCCAGGCAUUUUGUUAUAGUAUUGAAAAACAGACUAACAUAAGUAGUAACGUGUAUGAAACUAGACAUUGAAUAAAGAAAUGAGUCCCUUUUCAAAUUAUUUUACCCCUAGCCAAAAUUCAGUGCCCUCUCUGAAGCCACACACUGGCAAUUUGGAGAGUCCUUCCAGACUUUCAGCUCUGCAUUCUCCAAUGUGUACAUGUAAUCCCAUCUCUGUAAGAAAGACUAUGUACACAAUAUCUAUAUCAUAUAGAUAUAUGACCAUGUUAUGUUAUAUAUAAAUUAGCUCACCAUUUCAUGCUCAGCACUGGAGUUACCCCAUGUUGUAAGAAUGGCAACUGAACUUGACUUGUCACUGAUCACUUGUUUUUGUUUUUGUUUUUGUAUAAUAUUUAUUUAUACAUUA